rnacentral:rRNA from 1 species
AUGAACGCUGGCGGCGUGGAUAAGGCAUGCAAGUCGAGGGGGUCCCUCACUAAGUACGUUUUCGAUUGAAAAUGUUUUUAGUGAGGGAUCACCGGCAGACGAGGUAGUAACACGUAGGAACGAACCCCGUAGUCAGGAAUAAUCCGACGAAAGUCGGACUAAUACUUGAUACACUCGCGAGAGGAAAGAUUUAUCGCUAUGGGAUUGGCCUGCGGAGUAUCAGCUUGUUGGCGGUGUAAAAGACCACCAAGGCUAUGACGCUUAGGGGAGGUGAGAGCCUGGCCCCCACCGAUGGGACUGCGACACGGCCCAUACACCUACGGGUGGCUGCAGUCGAGAAUCUUCCACAAUGGACGAAAGUCUGAUGGAGCGACGCCGCGUGACUGAUGAAGUCUUUCGGGAUGUAAAGGUCUUUUAUGAGGGAUGACAUUGCGACAGUACCUCAUGAAUAAGGGGUUGCUAAACUCGU